UAUUUAUCUAUUCAAUAUUAA
rnacentral:piRNA from 1 species